UGUGUUAGAACAUGAACUGAGCCCAUAAUCGAAAUGUACUAUUUAGCCGAAUGUUGCACACUCUGAGUAAUUGUAAUGCUUCGGCUAUUCAAUUAGGCUGCGUUCCAUUCAUUAGCUCUACAUCCCGAAUUUUAAUAUCACAAUUUUGUGGAAUAGGGCACCGUUUGUGCACAUAUCCCAGAGUCGCUAGUGGCUAUUACUCGCUGGGCGUUGAGUCUUCAACCAAAACUUAUUGCUCAUCAUAUCUGUCCCUGAACAUUUUGUGGAUAGUACUUGAUUCAUGUAAACCACUAAUUAAAUCGAGAAUUUAUUUCCAAUAAUGAAUGUAGGCAAAAUUAUUGAGCCUAGAAUAUAGGUCCAAUAAUGCCAUAUAUUAUUUUGAAGGCUUGUCUUCACAACGGCUGGCUGUAUACCCCGGGCUGAACGUGAAUCUGUUCGUGGCAGUAGCGUACGAUUGGGGGUAAGAAACGAUCGAUUUGAAGUUCCAAGGGGUCGGGAUAGACCCUCCGUUUAGUAAAUACGUCUCAGAGUCACAUUGAACCGCUGCCUUGAACUCUCUUUAUAAUUCUCAUUACCAGUCACCCAUAAACUCGGAUUAAAACCCCACACUGAGCGUAUCUAGGUGCACCUAGAGCUCAGCCCUGUGUAGGUCGGUCCACUGAAGGAGCGGCAUUACUUAUUAUACCAUCAGUGUUGUCUGGCGGUAGAUAGGCGCCCCCUAGCGUCCGCUCCGGUCCGCCUCCAACACAACCCAAUUUAGGGGAGCCACCGGAGAAGGAGAACUACUUCAGUCUCUUGUCUCUCACAUAGACUAAACUAUUGGGCACCAUUCAAUCCCGCUAGCUAUUUGUUAAAAAAUGUGUGUAAUUUGACAAAGGAUCAUUUGGCUCCUAGCUCUGCCAAAAUGAGGAUUUACAUUUGGCUCCGUGGUGCGCGCGGUCCGAGCGGCGGCGUUCACACAGAUUAGGUUGUGAUUGUAGAUAAACCAGCACAACGAUUGUGUGCUUAUGUUAUGGACAGUUUUAUUCACCCGUUCUUGUAUCGUUAUCGGCGAAUAAAAAGCGUUACGAGGUGACGACAGAUUGUUUUCCCAUCAGUCGGUCAAGAUUUGAUGACACCCCCGUGACCCUAAUCCCACCAGAAUCCUGUUUUCACCUUCCACCGCUGAAGGAGGAGAGUUUAUUCUACAAGUGGAUGAGCACAAUUU
ensembl:lncRNA